UACGUAGGGUGCGAGCGUUGUCCGGAAUUACUGGGCGUAAAGCGCUUGUAGGCGGUUUUCCGCGUCUGCUGUGAAAAUCCGGGGCUCAACCCCGGACUUGCAGUGGGUACGGGCAGACUAGAGUGCGGUAGGGGAGACUGGAAUUCCUGGUGUAGCGGUGGAAUGCGCAGAUAUCAGGAGGAACACCGGUGGCGAAGGCGGGUCUCUGGGCCGUAACUGACGCUGAGGAGCGAAAGCGUGGGGAGCAAACAGG
rnacentral:rRNA from 1 species